rnacentral:rRNA from 1 species
GACGUAGGGGGCGAGCGUUGUCCGGAUUUAUUGGGCGUAAAGAGCGUGUAGGCGGCCAGGUAGGUCUGCUGUGAAAACUCGAGGCUCAACCUCGAGCUGUCGGCGGAAACCAUCUGGCUAGAGUCCGGAAGAGGAGAGUGGAAUUCCUGGUGUAGCGGUGAAAUGCGCAGAUAUCAGGAAGAACACCCGUGGCGAAGGCGGCUCUCUGGGACGGUACUGACGCUGAGACGCGAAAGCGUGGGGAGCGAACAGG